rnacentral:rRNA from 1 species
ACCUGUUGAUCCUGCCAGUAGUCAUAUGCUUGUCUCAAAGAUUAAGCCAUGCAUGUCUAAGUUAAGCAAUAAACGGUGAAACUGCGAAGGCUCAUUAAAUCAGCUAUAGUUUAUUUGAUGUACCUUACUACAUGGAUAACUGUGGUAAUUCUAGAGCUAAUACAUGCUGAAAAAUCCCGACUUCUGGAAGGGAUGUAUUAUUAGAUCCAAAACCAAUGGCUUCGGCUCUUUGGUGAAUCAUGAUAACUGCUCGAAUCGCAUGGCCUUGCGCCGGCGAUGCUUCAUUCAAAUAUCUGCCCUAUCAACUUUCGAUGUAGAUAGAGGCCUACCAUGUGAUGACGGUAACGGGAAUAAGGGUUCGAUUCCGGAGAGAGGGCCUAGAAACGGCCCCAGUCUAAGGACACCCAGCGCACGCGCAAAUUAUCCCCUGCAACACUUGCCGAGAUAUGACAAUAAAUAACAAUGCAGGCUCUUACGGCUGCAAUUGGAAUAGUACAAUUAAAUCCCUUAACGAGGAAUCCAUUGGAGGGCAAUCGGUGCCAGCAGCCGCGGUAAUUCCAGCUCCAAUAGCGUAUAUUAAAGUUGUGCCGUAAAAAGCUCGUAUCGAACUUCGGUCCCUGUAAGCCGGUCCGCCUUCUUGGGUGUACUGCUCUGCGGGACUUACCUCCUGGUGAACUGCCAUGUCCUUUACUGGGUGUGGUAGCAAACCAGAACGUUUACUUUGAAAAAAUUAGAGGUUCAAAGCAGGCCUACGCCCGAAUACAUUAGCAUGGAAUAUAAUAAAUAGGACGCGCGUUCCCCAUUUUGUUGGUUCUGGAGAUCGCCGUAAUGAUUAAUAGGGAUAGUUGGGGCAUUUGUAUUCCGUCGUCAGAGGUGAAAUUCUUGGAUUGCCGGAAGACAAAACUACUGCGAAAGCAUUUGCCAAGGAUUUUCAUUGAUCAAGAACGAAGGAAGGGGGAUCGAAACGAUCAGAUACCGUUGUAGUCUCUUCUGUAAACUAUGCCAAUUGGGAUUAGCUCAGGAUUUUUAAUGACUGAGUUAGCACCCGAAGAGAAAUCUUUAAAUGAGGUUCGGGGGGAGUAUGGUCGCAAGCUGAAAACUUAAAGGAAUUGACGGAAGGGCACCACCCAGGUGUGGAGCCUGCCGGCUUAAUUUGGACUCAACACGGGGAAACUCACCAGGUCCAGACACAAUAAGGAUUGACAGAUUGAUAGCUCUUUCUUGAUCUUGUGGUUGGUGGUGCAUGGCCGUUCUUAGUUGGUGGAGUGAUUUGUCUGGUUAAUUCCGAUAACGAACGAGACCUUAACCUGCUAAAUAGUCCGCCGGCUUUGGCUGGCGCUGACUUCUUAGAGGGACUAUCAGCGUUUAGCUGAUGGAAGUUUGAGGCAAUAAC